CCCAAGCUCUGGCCCUGGCUCUGACAUCUACUUCCAGUGACCUUGGACAAGUUGCUCCUUCCUUCUAGAGCUCAGUCUUCCAAGUCAGAAGACAGCAGGAGAUAAUAUCCACCAUUCUCUGGCUGCCUUGGAAUAUAAUGCUGCCUUUGUGGCCCCCAUCUCUGCUCUGCCUCCUGACACCAGGCCGACUUCUGACACACAAGCCUUCUGUCAAUGCCAGGGAGAAGAGUAGAAGGAUAAUGGUGCAUCUCUCAGGAGGUGGAAGCAAGAGAACGAGGAACUCGAGGUUAUUUUCAGCUGCAAAGUGAGUUAGAGAGCAGUCUGGGCAACAUAACUCC
rnacentral:lncRNA from 1 species